CUAAGUGGCGGACGGGUGAGUAAUGUAUAGUUAAUCUGCCCUUUAGAGGGGGAUAACAGUUGGAAACGACUGCUAAUACCCCAUACUCCUUUUACAUUAAUCGUAAUUGGGAAACGUUUUUUCGCUAAAGGAUGAGACUAUAUGGUAUCAGGUAGUUGGUGGGGUAAGAGCCCACCAAGCCAAUGACGCCUAGCUGGUCUGAGAGGAUGAUCAGCCACACUGGAACUGAGACACGGUCCAG
rnacentral:rRNA from 1 species